CUUAACACAUGCAAGUCGAACGAUGAAGCCUUUCGGGGUGGAUUAGUGGCGAACGGGUGAGUAACACGUGGGCAGUCUGCCCUUCACUCUGGGACAAGCCCUGGAAACGGGGUCUAAUACCGGAUAACACUCUGUCCCGCAUGGGUCGGGGUUAAAAGCUCCGGCGGUGAAGGAUGAGCCCGCGGCCUAUCAGCUUGUUGGUGGGGUAAUGGCCUACCAAGGCGACGACGGGUAGCCGGCCUGAGAGGGCGACCGGCCACACUGGGACUGAGACACGGCCCAGACUCCUACGGGAGGCAGCAGUGGGGAAUAUUGGACAAUGGGCGAAAGCCUGAUCCAGCCAUGCCGCGUGUGUGAAGAAGGUCUUCGGAUUGUAAAGCACUUUAAGUUGGGAGGAAGGGCAUUAACCUAAUACGUUAGUGUUUUGACGUUACCGACAGAAUAAGCACCGGCUAACUCUGUGCCAGCAGCCGCGGUAAUACAGAGGGUGCAAGCGUUAUCCGGAAUUAUUGGGCGUAAAGCGCGCGCAGGUGGUUUCUUAAGUCUGAUGUGAAAGCCCACGGCUCAACCGUGGAGGGUCAUUGGAAACUGGGAGACUUGAGUGCAGAAGAGGAAAGUGGAAUUCCAUGUGUAGCGGUGAAAUGCGUAGAGAUAUGGAGGAACACCAGUGGCGAAGGCGACUUUCUGGUCUGUAACUGACGCUGAUGUGCGAAAGCG
rnacentral:rRNA from 1 species